rnacentral:rRNA from 1 species
UACGUAGGGUGCAAGCGUUAAUCGGAAUUACUGGGCGUAAAGCGUGCGCAGGCGGUUUUGUAAGUCUGUCGUGGAAUCCCCGGGCUCAACCUGGGAAUGGCGAUGGAGACUGCAAGGCUAGAGUUUGGCAGAGGGGGGUAGAAUUCCACGUGUAGCAGUGAAAUGCGUAGAGAUGUGGAGGAACACCGAUGGCGAAGGCAGCCCCCUGGGUCAAAACUGACGCUCAUGCACGAAAGCGUGGGGAGCAAACAGG